CAUUAAUCAAUGAAGUGACCAAGUAAAUAAGAAUUGUGAGACAGAAAAUAUAGCGUUUGCUGAGAGCUAUAUCACCUCUUCUUAUUGAACCCUACCACAGAGAUGUUAGUUAAAACUAACCGAGUAGUUUCGUUACAAACGUUUAGAGGACAUAGUAUUUUUUAUGUCGAACUAAGGUGGUACCACGUCUAUUAGCAUAAAGACGUCCUUUUU
rnacentral:ncRNA from 1 species